AGGUUGUGAGGGGUUUGUCUGUCUCACACCCCUCUCUCCUCUCCAUCCAGCCCAACAUUUCAUUGGCUGUAUUGAUCCAAGACUGACACACACACACACCAAUACGAACACAGACACAUUUGCUCACUUGCAUGCACUCACUUACCCACAGACAGACACAUACAGACACACACACACAACACUGAUUACUGAGCCUGUGGACUAAUGCUAAAUCCCCAUCAGAAAGGGAAUUGGCUGCCAACAGCACAUCUUAGCAGAUACGGCCUUCAGUACAGUAGCACACAUACAGUCGGGCUGAUGGAGGGAAACUAAAACACAGAUAUGAAUACAGAACCAGAACCUUUGACUGGAUCUGAAAUGGGUGUCUCUGUUUCUCAGUAUUUUUGCUACUUGUAAUUGUCAUCUUUGAAAAGCACCUUUACGGCAGAUUAUGAAUGGUUCUCGAUGGCGGUUCACUAACCUAUCAUUUAAUAUUUGAUUGCCUCCCCUUUAGAUCUUGGACCUGUGUUUGUUUCAGUGUGUUAUAAAAUGAGAGCCAGUACCACUAAUGAGUUCCAGACUGUCAUGUCCAAGAAAAAACAAGAACGUGAUGUUUAGUAUAUGGAAAGGAGGGACCCCUUAACAGAAGUGGGUACUAAAAAUGUGCCUGGGUCUGAGCUAAUCUCUGAUGGCCAGAUUCUGACUAAAUGACUCUAGGUUUUAGUUCUGGGUUAACCAAGAUUAGGCCCGGGCACACUGGGGCGUAGAGAUAUAUAAUAAUAUACAUUUAAUUACAUGCUCUGAUCGAGCCGUAGAUACGAGACAGAUAAGAAUGUAUUUCUGAAAAUACUGGCUAGUCAAUGGCCACACUCCUCUCUCUGCCAGUGAAAAGGGUUAAAUGUCUGCUGGGGCACUGAGCUUGUCCCUGACCAUCGGCCGAACACCGGCUCGGUUGGGUCAAUGUUUUACCAUACCGUACAGCCUUCUAUCGACAAGUUCAAUAUUCUCUCACAUUGGUGCCCCUCCCACUCACUCACUCGCCCACAGCCCCACGCACACUCAAAUGACACUACGAGAUUUCUCACUCCCCGUUCGCUACCCUUCGUGCCGCGCUCUCUCCCCAGCAUCACAGAAGGACAGAGGACCCUGCAGUACAAGAGUGAUGUCCUUGAGACAGUUGUGUUGGUGAACCCGUCAGAGGAAACUACUGCUUCAGAGGUAGGUGUGACCCAGACAUACCUGACAACUGAGGGCUUUUGCCUUCACAGAAAUCACCUUUAUACACAAAAUAUGGUACGG
rnacentral:lncRNA from 13 species